GACGGCGCGAGCAGGUGCGAAAGCAGGUCAUAGUGAUCCGGUGGUUCUGAAUGGAAGGGCCAUCGCUCAACGGAUAAAAGGUACUCCGGGGAUAACAGGCUGAUACCGCCCAAGAGUUCAUAUCGACGGCGGUGUUUGGCACCUCGAUGUCGGCUCAUCACAUCCUGGGGCUGAAGUAGGUCCCAAGGGUAUGGCUGUUCGCCAUUUAAAGUGGUACGCGAGCUGGGUUUAGAACGUCGUGAGACAGUUCGGUCCCUAUCUGCCGUGGGCGCUGGAGAAUUGAGGGGGGCUGCUCCUAGUACGAGAGGACCGGAGUGGACGCAUCACUGGUGUUCGGGUUGUCAUGCCAAUGGCACUGCCCGGUAGCUAAAUGCGGAAGAGAUAAGUGCUGAAAGCAUCUAAGCACGAAACUUGCCCCGAGAUGAGUUCUCCCUGAGACUAUAAGUCUCCUGAAGGAACGUUGAAGACGACGACGUUGAUAGGCCGGGUGUGUAAGCGCAGCGAUGCGUUGAGCUAACCGGUACUAAUGAACCGUGAGGCUUAACCUUACAACGCCGAAG
rnacentral:rRNA from 1 species